AUUGAACGCUGGCGGCAGGCCUAACACAUGCAAGUCGAGCGAGCGGCGGACGGGUGAGUAAUGUAUGGGGACUGCCCGAUAGAGGGGGAUAACUACUGGAAACGGUGGCUAAUACCGCAUACUAUCGGAUAACCCAUAUGGGAUUAGCUAGUAGGUGGGGUAAAGGCUCACCUAGGCGACGAUCUCUAGCUGGUCUGAGAGGGUGUAAAGCCAACCGGGGACGUAGACACGGCCCAGACUCCUACGGAGGCAGCAGUUGGUAAUAUGGCACAAUGGGCGCAAGCCUGAUGCAGCCAUGCCGCGUGUAUGAAGAAGGCCUUAGGGUUGUAAAGUACUUUCAGCGGUGAGGCGUUACCCGCAGAAGAAGCACCGGCUAACUCCGUGCCAGCAGCCGCGGUAAUUC
rnacentral:rRNA from 1 species